rnacentral:tRNA from 1 species
UCCCUGGUGGUCCAGUGGCUAAGACUCUGCACUCCCAAAGCGAGCAGCCCGGGUUCUAUCCCUGGUCGGGGAA